UAUUCCUCAUUUCUUGCUCAGUCUUAGUGGGCAGGAGUGGUUUAGGGUGAAAUGAAAUCUUUCCCAUACUCUGACAUGCUGCUUUUGAGUGUAGCACUCAAAUAUUCCUUUGUAUGUGUCUGAAGCCAGCAUGAAAGGUUUAUUAUUGCUGUAUCAGUCACUAAGAUAGAAUGAAUAAUCUUUGUAAUUUGAGGUCAAAACUGACUGAACUGAAGGGCUUAUAUUUUUACCUCAGCCCUGCUGCAAUUCAUUGAACAGUCUGAUGUGUUGAGAAGAUGUUGUGACAAGUUAAUCAGAGAAUCAGAGAACUGAGUCAGAAUCAGCCCCCCAAACACUUGCAGAAAAGAGAGGUCAGUCACGAGAGAGACUGUGGAAGCGACUUUUGUUGUGGGCUAUCACAGGUGAAAGGUUUGUGUUUAACUGUGACCAUGCUCCCCCACAGAUCAGCAUUCCCUAGGAGCUAAAGGAGAUCUGUAGCUCUUGCUGAACUGUGUGAACCAAAGGGGAAAAGCAAAAUGGGAUACAAAAUUAUAGAAAAGUCCUUUAUCAUGAUGUCUUCAUGCCACCUGAAUCCAAAUCGUCAGACAAUAUUUUUAAAGAAGCAAAGCUCUUUUGACUCACAUGCAGCGCCAGCCUCUCCAGGUAUGCCUGGUCAUCACUGCACAACAGCCAAGGGUCUCAGCGGCAGCUGCUGAAUGAUACUGAGGCACUCUGCCUGCACUACUGCGUAACUGAGCGUAACACCGAUCCACUGCCUAGCAAUGAUGGAAAAUGUUGUGAGAAAGGAUCUUCAUGUACAUGAAGCCAGUAUGUCUGUAAGAAGUCUAUGGAAAUGCAAGUACGAACGUGCACCCUACCUCCAAAACACUAUGAUCAGACUGAUACUCAAAAUGCCAGUGUUUGUGAUGCUAACUAUUUUACUCAAGAGUGUCACAGCUGUUCUACCCUUGACUCUUCUCCAUACCUACUCUGUAAGAAAUGGGGAAGUAAGAGUUGCUGGAAGAUCUCUGCAUUUCAGGAAAGGCUAUGAACUAGCACAUGCACAGAAGGUGUUUGUUUUUUUCCUGGUUCUCUGACUAAGAAAAGGUCUUGCUCUAUAACAAGGCAUUUUUUAAAGCUGUGACUGCCUCUCAUUAGUGGAUGAGAACAGUUCAUAGCUCUUUUGGGACCUGUUAACAGUAAGACCUUUAUAUAUAUAAGAUUAAGAAAAGCUGAUCACUAAGAGGACUAUGAAGUAGAUUGAAAACUGGAAUAUAUUUCUGAACCAAUUACUGGGAAGGAACUAGGGAGUUUUGCCUGACUAAGGAGUACAGAACUGGAACUUAAGUUAUGGAAGUUGAUUCAACAACUGUGCUAUUUUUGGCUUGUGAACUGUUCUGAUGGCUGUUUAUUUUUAAGGUCAUUUUCUGUUUGCAUAGCAUAUACACCCUUCUGGUGGGUGGGAGGCAUUAUAAAAACAAUCACUGCUGCUCAGAAUUAUGAACUAAACUUGAAGAGGGAUGGAAAAAACAGAACUCUGUGGACUUAUUACUUUAAAAAACAGAACAUCUGUUUAGGUUGUGAAGUUUGUUGACCCACUCUCAGCUACAUCCCCACUGGAAAAAUACCAUUUCAAUUAACAUAAACUACUGCAGAGGAUUGCAAAAGACUUGGAAAACUUGGUCAGAUGAAAGAAUGGGAUAAACAGAAAGGAAGCAUCAGAUGUAGCAAUUUUUCACUCACACUUACCUUAAAAUAGUAAAAAGAAAACCAGAAUAUUCAUCCCAUGACUGAGGAGUUGCUGAAGAAUUAGAAUUCAUGCUGGGCUGGCCAUGCUUAAAUCAAAGCAUGUGUCCUGUUUCUUAAGACUCGUUAAAAAACAACACACUUGACUGUUGUGUUUUCCUGGCUUCUUUCUGUUGGGCAUAUCUUUAUUCACAGUCAGAUAAUACAAAUUCAUUGGACAGUGGCAGUUUACAAGAAAGUAACAAUGAUUAUGUUGAACAUAAAUUUAAAAAACCUAAGUCUGGCCAUUUGGCCUACAAUGCAGUAUUUGGACCAGAUAAUGGUAGGGAAAUAGCCUGUAACAUUGGAAGCAUACUCUCAGCCAUGUUCCUUUUCCAGAAUAUAAAAUACAUAAUACAAAAAUAUACUAAGAAAUAACUGAGAUUUUGUUGUAGAAAUGUCUGCUGCAAUACAAUUGCUGUUGUCUAACUUUCAGUAUAUUUACUCCCAUGCUAUAUUAGGAUAGAAUAUUUGAAUAAAAACAGUUUAUUUCUAACCUGA